UACGUAGGGCGCAAGCGUUGUCCGGAAUUACUGGGCGUAAAGAGCUCGUAGGUGGUUUGUCGCGUUGUUCGUGAAAACCGGAGGCUUAACCUUCGGCGUGCGGGCGAUACGGGCAGACUGGAGUACUGCAGGGGAGACUGGAAUUCCUGGUGUAGCGGUGGAAUGCGCAGAUAUCAGGAGGAACACCGGUGGCGAAGGCGGGUCUCUGGGCAGUAACUGACGCUGAGGAGCGAAAGCGUGGGGAGCGAACAGG
rnacentral:rRNA from 1 species